ACGGAGGGUGCAAGCGUUAUCCGGAUUCACUGGGUUUAAAGGGUGCGUAGGUGGGCAGGUAAGUCAGUGGUGAAAUCCUGUAGCUUAACUACAGAACUGCCAUUGAUACUAUCUGUCUUGAAUACCCUGGAGGUGAGCGGAAUAUGUCAUGUAGCGGUGAAAUGCUUAGAUAUGACAUAGAACACCCAUUGCGAAGGCAGCUCACUACGGGAAUAUUGACGCUGAGGCACGAAAGCGUGGGGAUCAAACAGGA
rnacentral:rRNA from 1 species